UUGGGAAUCCUAAUUUAGCAGUGAGCCUUAAGCCUUACUAAUACCUGCUUACUGCAGGCAGCCUCUGGUUUCUGUGCCCACUGUCUUGACCAGAAUGGGAGUGUCACAGGGGUUCUGGCACCAUAAAUACUGGCUGCCACCUUGAGCUGUCUGGGAAGACUUGAAGGAGUCUGCCGACAUACAGUACCUGGAGCCUCAGCACCUCCUGCUCUACAUCCCUGGUGCUCCAUUACUGGUCUUUGUCCAAUGCAUCUUUGAAAGAACCCUGGGUCUGCCCUUGGGCAGGGCAUUGGGAUUGAGUGAGAAGUGGAGGCCAAAAUUCAGACCAAUGCCACGCUGGAAGGCUUCUACAUUCUGCUGGGCAGAACUGCAAAGAAAAGGUUGUUUGCUCUCUUAUAUUUAAUCUUCCUGCAUAUCUCAGUAAUAAUACACGGAGUCAGGGUGGAGAGAGGAGUCACCAAGUGUCUUGAUCAAGAGAAUCAAGUUAUCCCUGGUUCUCACCUUGAAGUUUAAUGCUGCAUGUACAUAAAGACCCCCAUCAGUUGGAGAUCUACAUUUUCUUUCACCUCAUUCUUCUCUGGACUGGCUCUUCUGUAUGAUGUAAGUAUGUAAGCAGGGUCAUGCUGUGAAGUGACACCUUUCAAGGGUUCUUUUUUCAUUGUAAAUGAGGCUGAUGAUCCCAGACCACUCCAAAGAGCCCAUCCAAAGACAAUGUGUGGUCAUGACUAUGGGUGCAAAGCCAAAGGACAAAUUCAGCAGUGUUGAGCAGAAUCAUCCCCAACCCUGAAUCAGCAGCUCCCUUCUCCCUGGGCGGAGCUGGGUAGGUGUCAGUGAUAAUGAAUUACUUCUGUCAGUGAGUUGUAGAGAGCAAGAACUACUCUGCUGUUUUUGUCUUAGAUCCUAUAGGUAAGUGUUCCCCACAGAUACCCACACACCGCUCCUGCAUCUCAGACAAGAGCAGACUUUGUCCUGACUGUGGCUGCUGCCCACUGCUCCAAAGACUC